rnacentral:rRNA from 1 species
UACGUAGGGUGCGAGCGUUAAUCGGAAUUACUGGGCGUAAAGCGUGCGCAGGCGGUCUGUUAAGACAGAUGUGAAAUCCCCGGGCUUAACCUGGGAACUGCAUUUGUGACUGGCAGGCUAGAGUAUGGCAGAGGGGGGUAGAAUUCCACGUGUAGCAGUGAAAUGCGUAGAGAUGUGGAGGAACACCGAUGGCGAAGGCAGCCCCCUGGGCUGAGAUUGACGCUCAGGCACGAAAGCGUGAGGAGCAAACAGG